UACGUAGGUGGCAAGCGUUGUCCGGAUUUACUGGGCGUAAAGAGCGCGCAGGCGGUCGUGCAAGUCGAGUGUGAAAGCCCCCGGCUCAACUGGGGAGGGUCACUCGAAACUGCUCGACUCGAAGGCGGGAGAGGGAAGUGGAAUUCCCGGUGUAGUGGUGAAAUGCGUAGAUAUCGGGAGGAACACCAGUGGCGAAGGCGACUUCCUGGCCCGUUCUUGACGCUGAGGCGCGAAAGCUAGGGGAGCAAACGGG
rnacentral:rRNA from 1 species